rnacentral:rRNA from 1 species
GCCUGCCCAGUGACUAUGGGUUCAACGGCCGCGGUAUUUUGACCGUGCAAAGGUAGCGCAAUCACUUGUCUUUUAAAUGAAGACCCGUAUGAAUGGCUAAACGAGGGCUUAACUGUCUCCCCUUUCCAGUCAGUGAAAUUGAUCUAUCCGUGCAGAAGCGGGUAUAAAUCUACAAGACGAGAAGACCCUUUGGAGCUUAAGGUACAGACCCAAUCGCGUUAAACAACUUAUUAAAGAGCAUAAACUUAGCGCAUCAUGGAAUCUUACCUUCGGUUGGGGCGACCACGGAGGAAAAAACAGCCUCCGAGUGGACCGGGAAUAAAUCCUAAAGUUAAGAGCAACACCUCUAAACCACAGAACAUCUGACCAAACAUGAUCCGGACAUAAGUCCGAUCAACGAACCAAGUUACCCUAGGGAUAACAGCGCAAUCCUCUCCCAGAGUCCAUAUCGACGAGGGGGUUUACGACCU